rnacentral:rRNA from 1 species
CCUACGGGGGGCAGCAGUAGGGAAUCUUCCACAAUGGGCGAAAGCCUGAUGGAGCAACGCCGCGUGGGUGAAGAAGGUCUUCGGAUCGUAAAACCCUGUUGUUAGAGAAGAAAGUGCGUGAGAGUAACUGUUCACGUUUCGACGGUAUCUAACCAGAAAGCCACGGCCAACUACGUGCCAGCAGCCGCGGUAAUACGUAGGUGGCAAGCGUUAGCCGGAUUUAUUGGGCGUAAAGGGAACGCAGGCGGUCUGUUAAGUCUGAUGUGAAAGCCUUCGGCUUAACCGGAGUAGUGCAUUGGAAACUGGGAGACUUGAGUGCAGAAGAGGAGAGUGGAACUCCAGGUGUAGCGGUGAAAUGCGUAGAUAUAUGGAAGAACACCAGUGGCGAAAGCGGCUUUCUGGUCUGUAACUGACGCUGAGGUUCGAAAGCGUGGGUAGCAAACAGGAUUAGAUACCCCAGUAGUC